rnacentral:piRNA from 1 species
UAACACACAUGGAGCUGUCAUCGCCUGUG